CAUAACGGUCAAAGCGGAGGUGUAACAUCCGAUCCCAUCCCGAUCUCGGAAAUUAAGCCCUCCAGCGAUUCUUUAAGUACUGCUAUCUAGUGGGAACAAAGUGACGCCGUUAGUC
rnacentral:rRNA from 1 species